GUGACCCCAUGUGGUAACACGUGGAGGAAAAAUUCCUGAACAUGCUGGAAACCCAUAAAGCUUUUUUCACUACAACAUGGCCCGCAAGGGCGAGUGUGAAAGUUUGAAAAGAAAAAAGAUUUGGCAAUCAGCAGCCAAGCUUCGAAAAGUUCGGAGAAGGUUCAGAGACUAUAAUAGGAAUUACCAAUUCACGCGAAUUGGUAAAUGGUAUAGUCCAUUCCUUUUAGAAAUAAAAGG
rnacentral:ncRNA from 1 species